UACGUAGGGGGCAAGCGUUGUCCGGAUUUAUUGGGCGUAAAGAGCGUGUAGGCGGCCUGAAAGGUCAGCUGUGAAAACUCGAGGCUCAACCUCGAGACGUCGGUUGAAACCAUCUGGCUAGAGUCCGGAAGAGGAGAGUGGAAUUCCCGGUGUAGCGGUGAAAUGCGCAGAUAUCGGGAGGAACACCAAUGGCGAAGGCAGCUCGCUGGGACGGUACUGACGCUGAGACGCGAAAGCGUGGGGAGCGAACAGG
rnacentral:rRNA from 1 species